UCAUUCGUGGUUCCCGUCUCCCAGUCUCGUCAAGUAUUUCGUCUUUCUAUUUUCUGCUCUUGGUGUUUUGGAUUACCUGUGUUGGAUUUUGGUUUAGUUUCUCAUUAUGGCUUUUUAUGGACUCAGCCACUCAGUAUGUCUGACUGAAGAUCCAACCUGACAUCUGCCUCCCUGUCAGCUCUCCUCAUGGUACAACUUAGCUUGCCACGAAGUACGAUCAAGAAGUACGAUCCCUCCUUUGCCCACGACUUGUGGCACACAGACACCAUCCGCAGCAGAAGGAGUUCACAGCCGCAGACAAGGAAGAAAAUAGCUUUGGGAGGGAACUGUAUGAAGACUGAACAUGCUAUUACUGUCACAGGGUUGAGCAGAUUUAUUAAGGCAAACUAAAACUUCUGAGUGGUAUUCACUGACCCCCCUGGCUACCGAAGAUGCCAGAAACCUCUUCAAGCUUGGUGCUUCUGGGAGGAACAGUGAUUGAGGUACACUCACAGCGUUACCAUCUGGAAGGGCUCUUCAGACAGGCAAACAGAAUCUCCCAGAAGACAAACCUCUCCUGCUGCUGAAGACCUUGAACCACUUCCAAAUGUCUUUGUUGGGGAUGAUAUUCCUCUGCAAUGAAGGCAACAGGCAUUCAGCAUAACAACUUGUAAUAUAAUGAAGACACUGAGCUCGGUCAGGCUCGCAUCAGGAGGCUGGUCCUCCUGGUACAGAGGCCAUUCCCAGAGUGUGCACUAACAGCCGAGCACAGUAGAUCACAGUAGAUGAUGGUUUUGAGACCUCCUUUUAUUCACCAGCUGGUAAAGUGCCAAGGCAGCAUCAAGUGCUCUGAAGUUGUUAGUCUUUCCACUGUUCACCUCCUCACCUGCCACCAUCCAAUCUGCAGCUCUCGACAUACACAAUAUGCUCUCCAAAACAAAAGCUCAAACAACCAAACCUGUGUCCAAAAAAGGAAACAGAGAAUUUGAGACACAAACACACCUGUGUCAUCAGUAGUUUAAUAUUACAGAUGCCACAGCAAGUCUGUGGGGACCUUUUGAUAUUUUCAAUUCAAUUCUAUUACACCUCAAAUGUGUUCUCAGGGGACAAUGAAAUUAAAGUUCAAUUGCAAUUGGCAAUGUAUGCUGCAGUUACGUCAUCUUGUCAAGAGAUCAGGAAUCAGCAUAGUUCAAGUUGCACUAUAAAUUAUUGUAAAUCCACAAACUGUUACAUUUUUAGUGUUUGUGAUAAGUUUAUCAGCUAUUUGUGUCUGUCAUUUGGCUUUCAUGACUAUGAGCUGUUGCUUAAAAUAACUGUCUCAGUGACGGGGGAAGAAUUUUAUCACCUUGCAAAAUGUGCGCUGUAAAUCAUCCGACACCUCUGGGCUAUUUUUCACCAGCUUAAAUUGGGACAUAGCCUAUAUAUUCCAGAGAGAAAGUUUUGAUGGUGCAAACAAACACCUUUCCUUUACAAAAGUUAAACCAGGUAAAGGGGAAAAACGUUCAAGCAGGACAGGAUCUCAGAGCAAUAUACAGCAGUACUACUCCUUGAAAAGUUUGCUAUAGUGACUGGCAGCAAGUCGCAAGGGAACCUCUUCUGCUGGAGUAAUACUGUACUACGCCCUGGGCUGUCUUGGACAUUUGCACCAAUAUCAUGUUGACUAGAAAUUUGUGUGUGCACUGCAAAUUCUCGGCCUCUUUUGAAGCAAAUCUUUGAGUACUCUAGUCACUAUAUUUAUUAACAAUGUUAUGCUAAUGCUAGCUUGA